GAAUUCGCCCUUAGAGUUUGAUCCUGGCUCAGGACGAACGCUGGCGGCGCGCCUAACACAUGCAAGUCGAACGAGAGAGAGGGAGCUUGCUUCCUUGAUCGAGUGGCGAACGGGUGAGUAACGCGUGAGGAACCUGCCUCAAAGAGGGGGACAACAGUUGGAAACGACUGCUAAUACCGCAUAAGCCCACGACCCGGCAUCGGGAAGAGGGAAAAGGAGCAAUCCGCUUUGAGAUGGCCUCGCGUCCGAUUAGCUAGUUGGUGAGGUAACGGCCCACCAAGGCGACGAUCGGUAGCCGGACUGAGAGGUUGAACGGCCACAUUGGGACUGAGACACGGCCCAGACUCCUACGGGAGGCAGCAGUGGGGAAUAUUGCACAAUGGGGGAAACCCUGAUGCAGCGACGCCGCGUGGAGGAAGAAGGUCUUCGGAUUGUAAACUCCUGUUGUUGAGGAAGAUAAUGACGGUACUCAACAAGGAAGUGACGGCUAACUACGUGCCAGCAGCCGCGGUAAAACGUAGGUCACAAGCGUUGUCCGGAAUUACUGGGUGUAAAGGGAGCGCAGGCGGGCGAUCAAGUUGGAAGUGAAAUCCAUGGGCUCAACCCAUGAACUGCUUUCAAAACUGGUCGUCUUGAGUAGUGCAGAGGUAGGCGGAAUUCCCGGUGUAGCGGUGGAAUGCGUAGAUAUCGGGAGGAACACCAGUGGCGAAGGCGGCCUACUGGGCACCAACUGACGCUGAGGCUCGAAAGUGUGGGUAGCAAACAGGAUUAGAUACCCUGGUAGUCCACACCGUAAACGAUGAUUA
rnacentral:rRNA from 1 species